GCCUGGAUGGCUCAGUCGGUUAAGCACCCAGCAUUGGCUUAGGUCAUGAUCUCAUGGUUCGUGAGUUCGAGCCCCAUGUGGGGC
rnacentral:tRNA from 1 species